UAAAAGGCAUAACUCGACUUUGAUGGCUUGGUUCUUAUUGAAUAGAGAAGACUCUGAUGCAGGACUCACAGGGAGGAUGAAGAGACUGCUGUUCGAACACAUUCCCAGAAACUAGAUGCCAUCUAAGAAGUCUGACUAACCUGAGAUCAUCAUGCUGAAUGGAAGCCCAAGCUAGCCACGUGGAGAAAGAGGGUCACGUGAAGAUCACUGAGGUCCAGCAAGGUGAAUGAAGUCUCACGGGAUCUUCAGGCCCACUGAAUGAAGCUGGGUGACUCUAAGUGACACGGUGUAGAGCUGAAGAGCCAUCCAGCUGAGCCCUGCUCUAAAUUCCUGCCCCACAGAAUCAUCAAAAAUAGCCACUCAUUGUUUUAAGCCAUUGGGUACUAAGGUGGCUUAUCACACAGCAAUAGAUAAGUGAAACAUGGUAGUUGGGACAUAGUUUUGCAGUUUCUAAAUUAAAGGGUCCUGGUCAGCUCUCAGGCCCUGAUCCCAAGUAAUGUGAUCCAAUUGGUCAGGGACUGAUGUAUUUUAAAAGCUCUCCAUGAGACUCACACAUAGGUCAUAGGUCCCGCUGGAAUUACAGGUGCUAUGCAUUGAGUUAGAAAGUCAUACUGAACUGAAACAGAGGGGUAAUACUUUAGCACAUUAUUAGUAUCUGGGAUUGGCCAGAUAAACAAAAUAAAACAAAAACAAAACCUCCUCCUUGUCAUCUACAACAUGCCUCACAAGGUCAGGCAAG